rnacentral:lncRNA from 1 species
UGGCAAGCACAUGAUAUAAGUAAUCCAUUUAAUCUAGAAAUUCUUUCUUCUUUUCAGUAUCUUUUGAGUACACUUUAUUCAAUCUAUUUAGAGAAACCAAUUUUCUCUUUUUCGUGGAACACUUCUUGAUAUAUUUGUACAAGAGAUCCUUGACAAUCCUUUUUCUGAUGCAUCCCAUGAUUUAUGCACCUUAGUAACUGCAUCAAUCUUCUUUUCCUUCUUGUUAGAUGUUUAUUCCUUUUUGAGGAUUGAAAAGAGAUCCUUCUGAAUAUUCUUUGUUACUAAAUUCUUGCAAUCAAAUGACUCAAGGAUCAUUCAUCAAACCUUAGCAUUAUCACUAAUAACCAAUUAUUCCAGGAGUCCCCUGCCUUUCUGCCAUAGCCUGCACUUGUCCGUCCAAAUGGUCGACCUUGCCAUCAAGUUGGGUCACUCAAUCCUUGUGUAUUUCCUUAGGGAUAGCCACUGCACUUGCUCUGUCUCUACAUAAACAAAGUGGGAAAUAAACAUUACAAAUCAAUACACAAACCAUGUCGGUCAGAGAUAUUACCCAUCAGAAGAGGAAAGAAACGUGAACUCCAUUAACGUUGUGUUAUAAGGAUGAUGGUUCUAUAUGUGACUGCAAACAGGGAACCAAGGUUCAUCUAUGCACCAAGUUUAUUGGUUGCAGGUGAUUCCACAAACAAGCAACUGUUUAAUACACGUACCUCUAUAGUUCUUGCACAUUCCACUGCAAUUCUUCUAACUUCACCAUGAAUCUAUCUAUUGAAUCAGUUACGAUGGCGAUCUCUUUAAGUCAAUUCGUUAUCCAAAGUUGUUCAUAGCAUAUAGUUUCAUCCAAGUAUCUUUCCAAAGUUUCUUCACUACCAUAGAACUCGUGUAGAGUAUGAAAAUAUUUAACACUAGAAAAGUUUUUACCAAAAAUGCAUCCUUGACAUCUUUUUGCAUAAGCACAUAUAAAGAAAACCCGUCUAGAUGUGGAAGGUAUCAAUUCCUUGGAGGCCAUGAAGUAUGAUGAAAGUUGAAGCAGUGAAGGAUCAAGUAAUCAAGAGGAGCAUGGAAAGAAAUUCAAGAAAGAAUUAACACCAAUAUACAAGAAAACUAUUCAUAAAAUUGAUUAUAUAC